rnacentral:misc_RNA from 1 species
GUAGGUGAACCUGCGGAAGGAUCAUUAGAGGGAUUUAACUCUUAUUUACAAAAGAGGGGAUUCAGUCCAUUUUAUUUAUAAAGUGGGUCCAGUCCUUUUUGUUUAUAAAAUGGGUUUAUAUACUCUCGGCGCAUUCGUAAUUAUAAAAGAUCCCAAGAGACGUUUUAGUUUUUCGGGAUAUAUACAUAACCAUUUUUAAAUUAAAAAAAAAAGCCGAAAGUGAAAUUCUAGUAAUAUAUAUAAUACAACU